rnacentral:rRNA from 1 species
UACGGAGGAGGCAAGCGUUAUCCGGAAUUAUUGGGCGUAAAGCGUCCGCAGGUGGUUGGUCAAGUCUGCUGUCAAAGCGCAAAGCUUAACUUUGUAAAGGCAGUGGAAACUGAUGAACUUGAGGGUGAUAGGGGCAGAGGGAAUUCCCAGUGUAGCGGUGAAAUGCGUAGAGAUUGGGAAGAACACCGGUGGCGAAAGCGCUCUGCUGGGUCACACCUGACACUGAGGGACGAAAGCUAGGGGAGCGAAAGGG